CCUUUGUACUAGAUACUUUGUUGUGUAAAUAUUAAAUAGAGCAUCUGGUACAAAGGAG
rnacentral:pre_miRNA from 1 species